CUCCUAUCCUCUCCUAUCCUCUCCCAUCCUAUCCCAUCCAGCUAACCGGGCGGUGCGCCCUGCGUUUGGAGGCUCCGCAAAGGGGGAGAAUGACAAUUUAAAAAAUCCCAAGCCUCUGGCAGCGGCCCCCCCACCCCCGCCCGCCAGGUUGCGGUAACGGCUCCUAGUAAAUGGCUUUGCUCUUGCUCCUUUGCUCUGCUUCCCGUAAUACCCUGAAUCCUUCAGGAAGCAGUCGUCUCCCCACUUUGCAGACAGGAAAACUGAGGUCCAAAGCCCAGAAGCGUGUAUGCAUCGCCCAAGGGUGCUGCUUUUUGAUUCCCUGCGUUCGUGGCUCUGACACUUGGUCCUUGCACGCCGGGGGCAGAUGCCCACUCAGGAGCAAGCUGGUGGCCGUUCCUGCUUCCAGCCCGCGGCUUCCACUCUCCACUUCCUUUGGGAAUUGCAGCAGGGUUGGCAAGAGCUGGCGAACAAUUUAGAAAGUCACUGUAAAAACACAGCCCUCCGGCCAGGAAGUGAAAAGAUAAGUAUGACACAGUUCGUACCCCUGGGACGUUCUCAUCCUAACCAGAGACAAACACUUGUAACAACGGACCACGGACCACCGCCCGGGGCGGAUCAUAAUGAAGUGAACAGAGACGGGAGAGGACUUUAUUCAGCCACCAGGGAGAGAGGAAGAAGAAACCGACUCAGAGAACUGACCUACGAACUGGACUUUGAGGAACGAAGAGGAGUUUUCCAAACAGAAGAUAUCACCAAGCAGGACUCGUGCUUGCAGGGGCGUGGAGGUACGACGAGUGCGGACAACGUGAGAGGCAGUGAUCGCACGCGAGGUGACACUGGAGGGACGCGGUGAUCGCGGCCGCCUGGCAGCUCUAACCCGGGGCCAGGGCCCGGCGACGCUCUGCGGAUCGUGUCACAAGACCAGAGUGAGUGAGCGGUGACG
rnacentral:lncRNA from 1 species